rnacentral:lncRNA from 1 species
UUACACAUACAAAAGAAAUAAAUAAAGUCUUUUUUAUAGGCAUGUAAUAAGGAGGAGUCCUAGAAAUCUUGGACUCUUCCUAGAUAUGUCGCCUUCUCACAAUUUUACAUCAAAAACAUGUCAAACAAAUAUGGGAUGCCCCUUCUCAUAUUUUUUCAUAAUAAUUUAGUUCUCCAACUAAUUUUUUACAAAAAAACUCUUCAAAAUAUCAUAUAUAUAAAGAGAAAAAAAUAAGUUGGCAUGG